GAGUUUGAUCCUGGCUCAGAUUGAACGCUGGCGGCAUGCCUUACACAUGCAAGUCGAACGGCAGCACGGGAGCUUGCUCCUGGCGGCGAGUGGCGAACGGGUGAGUAAUGCAUCGGAACGUAUCCUGGAGUGGGGGAUAACGUAGCGAAAGUUACGCUAAUACCGCAUAUUCUGUGAGCAGGAAAGCGGGGGACCUUCGGGCCUCGCGCUCUUGGAGCGGCCGAUGUCGGAUUAGCUAGUUGGUGAGGUAAAGGCUCACCAAGGCGACGAUCCGUAGCAGGUCUGAGAGGAUGAUCUGCCACACUGGAACUGAGACACGGUCCAGACUCCUACGGGAGGCAGCAGUGGGGAAUUUUGGACAAUGGGGGCAACCCUGAUCCAGCCAUGCCGCGUGAGUGAAGAAGGCC
rnacentral:rRNA from 1 species